UCAAUUUUCCCUCGCUAGAAAGAUAAUAUCCGUGAACUUAUUCCCAUGCAAUUUUGUAGGCCAGACUAUGAAGCUGGAUUGCAGGAUUUCCUUGAGUGUUUGACAAACUAUGAGAAGGUCUACGAGCCAGUGGAGGAAGGUUCUUAUAUCAAAAUGAUUGAUAUGGUUAAAGGGGAGGGUGGUCAGUUACAGGGUUCAUUCAUUACACCAAACCGAGCAUUUUUGUUGAG